rfam:Oryza rufipogon genomic scaffold, chr03
AAAAAGGCAAGCCAUGGGUUUCCGUGUCCAACUUUGACUGUCCGUUUUAUAUGAAAUUUUUUUAUAAUUCGUAUUUUCAUUGUUGUUAGAUGAUAAAACGUGAUUAAUAUUUUAUGCGUGACUUGUCUUUUUAAUUUUUUUCAUAAUUUUUUCAAAUAAGACAGACGGUCAAACAUUGGACACGGAAACCAGGGUUUGUCUUUUU